AAGUCGUAACAAGGUUUCCGUAGGUGAACCUGCGGAAGGAUCAUUAAUAACAUAGCAAACCGAGCGUUAGCGAGGUUCUGCGAUCAAAAUUGUAUUUAAAACCCAACACUUUGAAUCAAUAUUUUUUUAUGUAUCUUAAAUAAUAAAAGAUCACUUUCAACAACGGAUCUCUUGGUUCUC
rnacentral:misc_RNA from 1 species